CUAUACAUGCAGUCGAGCGGAAUUUUAUUGGUGCUUGCACCUUUAAAAUUUUAGCGGCGGACGGGUGAGUAACACGUGGGUAACCUACCUUAUAGAUUGGGAUAACUCCGGGAAACCGGGGCUAAUACCGAAUAAUACUUUUUAACACAUGUUUGAAAGUUGAAAGACGGUUUCGGCUGUCACUAUAAAAUGGACCCGCGGCGCAUUAGCUAGUUGGUGAGGUAACGGCUCACCAAGGCAACGAUGCGUAGCCAACCUGAGAGGGUGAUCGGCCACACUGGGACUGAGACACGGCCCAAACUCCUACGGGAGGCAGCAGUAGGGAAUCUUCCACAAUGGACAAAAGUCUGAUGGAGCAACGCCGCGUGAGUGAAGAAGGAUUUCGGUUCGUAAAACUCUGUUGCAAGGGAAGAACAAGUAGCGUAGUAACUGGCGCUACCUUGACGGUACCUUGUUAGAAAGCCACGGCUAACUACGUGCCAGCAGCCGCGGUAAUACGUAGGUGGCAAGCGUUGUCCGGAAUUAUUGGGCGUAAAGCGCGCGCAGGUGGUUCCUUAAGUCUGAUGUGAAAGCCCCCGGCUCAACCGGGGAGGGUCAUUGGAAACUGGGGAACUUGAGUGCAGAAAAGGAUAGUGGAAUUCCAAGUGUAGCGGUGAAAUGCGUAGAGAUUUGGAGRAACACCAGUGGCGAAGGCGACUGUCUGGUCUGUAACUGACACUGAGGCGCGAAAGCGUGGGGAGCAAACAGGAUUAGAUACCCUGGUAGUCCACGCCGUAAACGAUGAGUGCUAAGUGUUGGGG
rnacentral:rRNA from 1 species